ACACGCUGGCGGCGUGCUUAACACAUGCAAGUCGAACGGAAAGGCCCUUUCGGGGGUGCUCGAGUGGCGAACGGGUGAGUAACACGUGGGUGAUCUGCCCCUGACUUUGGGAUAAGCCUGAGAAAUUGGGUCUAAUACCGGAUAUGACCUGCCCUUGCAUGGGGGUGGGUGGAAAGCUUUUGCGGUCAGGGAUGGGCCCGCGGCCUAUCAGCUUGUUGGUGGGGUAAUGGCCUACCAAGGCGACGACGGGUAGCCGACCUGAGAGGGUGAUCGGCCACACUGGGACUGAGACACGGCCCAGACUCCUACGGGAGGCAGCAGUGGGGAAUAUUGCACAAUGGGCGCAAGCCUGAUGCAGCGACGCCGCGUGAGGGAUGACGGCCUUCGGGUUGUAAACCUCUUUCACCAGGGACGAAGCGCAAGUGACGGUACCUGGAGAAGAAGCACCGGCCAACUACGUG
rnacentral:rRNA from 1 species